GGGAAGGUGGGGAUGACGUCAAAUCAUCAUGCCCCUUAUGUUCUGGGCUACACACGUGCUACAAUGGCCGGUACAGACGGACGCAAAGCCGCGAGGUGGAGCAAAUCCUAAAAAGCCGGUCUCAGUUCGGAUUGCAGGCUGCAAUUCGCCUGCAUGAAGUCGGAAUCGCUAGUAAUCGCAGGUCAGCAUACUGCGGUGAAUACGUUCCCGGGCCUU
rnacentral:rRNA from 1 species